rnacentral:misc_RNA from 1 species
GAUGAAGAACGUAGCGAAAUGCGAUACUUGGUGUGAAUUGCAGAAUCCCGUGAACCAUCGAGUCUUUGAACGCAAGUUGCGCCCGAAGCCAUUAGGCCGAGGGCACGCCUGCCUGGGCGUCACACGUCGUUGCCCCCCCAUCUACUCCUUCGGGAUUGCGGGGGGCGGAUGAUGGCCUCCCGUGCGCCUCGCCGCGCGGUUGGCUUAAAUGCCAAGUCCUCGGCGACGCACGCCACGACAAUCGGUGGUUGCGAAACCUCGGUUGCCCGUCGUGUGCGGUCGUCGCGCAUCGAGGGCUCGAAAAAAUUGCCGGGUUCCGGCUCGGCUUUCAACGCGACCCCAGGUCAGGCGGGGUUACCCGCUGAAUUUAAGCAUAUCAAUAAGCGGAGGA